rnacentral:rRNA from 1 species
CAGUCGCCGCGGGAAUACGGAGGGUGCAAGCGUUAAUCGGAAUUACUGGGCGUAAAGCGUGCGUAGGCGGUUCGUUAAGUCUGUUGUGAAAGCCCCGGGCUCAACCUGGGAAUGGCAAUGGAUACUGGCGAGCUAGAGUGUGUCAGAGGAUGGUGGAAUUCCCGGUGUAGCGGUGAAAUGCGUAGAGAUCGGGAGGAACAUCAGUGGCGAAGGCGGCCAUCUGGGACAACACUGACGCUGAAGCACGAAAGCGUGGGGAGCAAACAGGAUUAGAUACCCGCGUAGUCCCUGUCUCUUAUAC